rnacentral:rRNA from 1 species
AUUGAACGCUGGCGGCAGGCCUAACACAUGCAAGUCGAACGAGUGGCGGACGGGUGAGUAAUGUCUGGGAAACUGCCUGAUGGAGGGGGAUACAUACUGGAAACGGUAGCUAAUACCGCAUACCAUCAGAGGUGCCCAGAUGGGAUUGGCUAGUUGGUGGGGUAACGGCGCACAAAGGAGGCGAUCCCUCGCUGGUCUGAGAGGAUGACCAGCCACACUGGAACUGAGACACGUUCCAGACUCCUACGGGAGGCAGCAGUGGGGAAUAUGGCACAAUGGGCGGAAGCCUGAUGCAGCCAUGCCGCGUGUAUGAAGAAGGCCUUCGGGUUGUAAAGUACUUUCAGCGGGGAGGCGUUACCCGCAGAAGAAGCACCGGCUAACUCCGUGCCAGCAGCCGCGGUAAUUC